GGAAGAACAUAAAUAUUCGAGAUUUUGAUUACUGCAUAAUCAUCUAAAAAAAAUACGAAACUUAUGCUUUCCCAAGACUACUACUAUUUAACGACUGAUUUAUAUUCACAAAAUUUUUCCAAUAAGUAACUGUGUAUAAAAAUUCAACAACUCUUGAUGUAACUCAAGUUUUACUUUCAAUGCUUGCGCAAUUCCUUCGUACGUAACAUCAUCGUGCGUAGGACCAACUCCACCAGAUGUAAAAACAAUAGAAUAUUUUUUGGAUGCCUCAGAGACUUCUUGUGCGAUUUCUUCUACCUAAUACAAAAACCUAAAAGUAGUAAAAUUGUUUAUAACAUAUGAAGAAAUAGAAAAAAUUCGGAAUACACACUAUGUCAGGUACCACUGUUAUUUUGCAAAGCUUCACUCCUAUGUUUCUUAAUUUUUGUGCCAAAUAUGAUGUAUUUGUAUCUACGAUUUGUCCACGUAAGAUUUCAUUGC